GACGAACGCUGGCGGCGUGCCUAAUACAUGCAAGUAGAACGCUGAAGAGAGGAGCUUGCUCUUCUUGGAUGAGUUGCGAACGGGUGAGUAACGCGUAGGUAACCUGCCUUGUAGCGGGGGAUAACUAUUGGAAACGAUAGCUAAUACCGCAUAACAAUGGAUGACACAUGUCAUUUAUUUGAAAGGGGCAAUUGCUCCACUACAAGAUGGACCUGCGUUGUAUUAGCUAGUAGGUGAGGUAAUGGCUCACCUAGGCGACGAUACAUAGCCGACCUGAGAGGGUGAUCGGCCACACUGGGACUGGGACACGGCCCAGACUCCUACGGGAGGCAGCAGUAGGGAAUCUUCGGCAAUGGGGGCAACCCUGACCGAGCAACGCCGCGUGAGUGAAGAAGGGUUUCGGAUCGUAAAGCUCUGUUGUAAGUCAAGAACGGGUGUGAGAGUGGAAAGUUCACACUGUGACGGUAGCUUACCAGAAAGGGACGGCUAACUACGUG
rnacentral:rRNA from 1 species